rnacentral:rRNA from 1 species
ACGGCGAGUGAAGCGGCAAAAGCUCAAAUUUGAAACCUUCGGGAUUGUAAUUUGAAGAUUUGGCAUUGGAGAAAGCUAACCCAAGUUACUUGGAAUAGUACGUCAUAGAGGGUGACAACCCCGUCUGGCUAACCGUUCUCCAUGUAUUGCCUUAUCAAAGAGUCGAGUUGUUUGGGAAUGCAGCUCAAAGUGGGUGGUAAACUCCAUCUAAAGCUAAAUACUGGUGAGAGACCGAUAGCGAACAAGUACUGUGAAGGAAAGGUGAAAAGAACUUUGAAAAGAGAGUGAAAUAGUAUGUGAAAUUGUUGAUAGGGAAGGAAAUGAGCGGAGAGUGGUUGAGGUUUCAGCGCACCCUUGGGUGCGUGUAUUGCCGACGCCGAGUCAUUGACAGCGAGACGGGGGCUACAAACAGGUUGCUCUUGAGCUUCCCACCUAUCCCCCCCACUGCCGCCAACGACAUAAUCCGCCCAUUUCACCCGUCUU